rnacentral:rRNA from 1 species
GGGGAAUAUUGGACAAUGGGGGCAACCCUGAUCCAGCCAUGCCGCGUGAGUGAUGAAGGCCUUCGGGUUGUAAAGCUCUUUUGGUGGGGACGAUGAUGACGGUACCCGCAGAAUAAGCCCCGGCUAACUUCGUGCCAGCAGCCGCGGUAAUACGAAGGGGGCUAGCGUUGUUCGGAAUUACUGGGCGUAAAGGGCGCGUAGGCGGCCUUGUUAGUCGAGUGUGAAAGCCCUGGGCUUAACCCGGGAAGCGCGCUUGAUACUGCAGGGCUUGAGUGUGGGAGAGGUUGGUGGAAUUCCCAGUGUAGAGGUGAAAUUCGUAGAUAUUGGGAAGAACACCGGUGGCGAAGGCGACCAACUGGACCACAACUGACGCUGAGGCGCGAAAGCGUGGGGAGCAAAC